UACGAAGGGGGCUAGCGUUGCUCGGAAUCACUGGGCGUAAAGGGUGCGUAGGCGGGUCUUUAAGUCAGGGGUGAAAUCCUGGAGCUCAACUCCAGAACUGCCUUUGAUACUGGACGAUCUUCGAGUCGGGAGAGGUGAGUGGAACUGCGAGUGUAGAGGUGAAAUUCGUAGAUAUUCGCAAGAACACCAGUGGCGAAGGCGGCUCACUG
rnacentral:rRNA from 1 species